AACGAACGCUGGCGGCAUGCCUAACACAUGCAAGUCGAACGAGACCUUCGGGUCUAGUGGCGCACGGGUGCGUAACGCGUGGGAACCUGCCUUUAGGUUCGGAAUAACUCAGAGAAAUUUGAGCUAAUACCGGAUGAUGUCUUCGGACCAAAGAUUUAUCGCCUUUAGAUGGGCCCGCGUAAGAUUAGCUAGUUGGUGGGGUAAAGGCCUACCAAGGCGACGAUCUUUAGCUGGUCUGAGAGGAUGAUCAGCCACACUGGGACUGAGACACGGCCCAGACUCCUACGGGAGGCAGCAGUGGGGAAUAUUGGGACAAAUGGGCGAAAGCCUGAUCCAGCAAUGCCGCGUGAGUGAUGAAGGCCUUAGGGUUGUAAAGCUCUUUUACCCGAGAUGAUAAUGACAGUAUCGGGAGAAUAAGCUCCGGCUAACUCCGUGCCAGCAGCCGCG
rnacentral:rRNA from 1 species